rnacentral:lncRNA from 1 species
CGUCUGACAAUAGUCAGAGUAAGACGCUUUUUCUUGUCCCCUUCAAACUCUGACCAUAGACUAUAGGCCUAAUAGGGGCAGAGAAUGCUUUAAAAAGUAAUUGACAAAGCGGUUUAAGCAGGAUGGAGUGUUUGUACAGUAGAACGCUUUUAUCAGCGUGAAACACUCACAGGAAUUCCGGUUUGGGAUUGUCCAUCCAAUUCCUGCGUUCCACAGGAAGCUCUGGAUAAAAAGCAACUGAAAAACGCCCAAAGGCAUUUCAUUUCUCUCCUGUCGGUUCACGGGGAGCAUCUAAACAUUAACCGUUGAGGUUUUAUUCUAAGAAAAAACCGUGGGGACGAGCUAAAAAUAAAUUGCAACGAUGGAAGAGUCCACUAAACUGGCUGUCAAGUGGUUGGAGUUGGUUCCCAUGGCAGCAUCUGCUCAGCGUGCGCGAGACGCAGCACCACAUGACCCCAUACUGAGGGGGUAGUUGACAUCCUCCUCCUAGAAGUCUAAAACAAGGGGCUCUAACAUCAGAGAGAGACACAGCCACAGCCCUUCUCCCCUUCCCCUCAUCCUCCUUUCUUCUCCCAUUGGACACAGAGAGAGCGAGGGAAAGAGCGAGGGAAAGUGAGAAAGAAGAGGGAGACAUGUAUCAAACACUCCUCCUCUCCUCCUCGCUCUUCAUCCUCCAUGUGACGGCCACUCCACAGUUCCACGGUCACCACGGGAGGAGGGUGUGUGGCAGAGAUAUUCAUCACAGCAGUGUCAUCACGACGACAGAGUCGUUCGUCCAGCCCGUUCACAAACCCUACAUCACCCUGUGUCAGGGGCACCGCCUCUGUAGCACCUACAAGUAAGUGACACAGCCAUGACUCUCCUGACCACUACUGUUGCUAUCACUGUCAAUAUCUCUAAUGCUAUCAAUGUCAAUAUCGCUAUCGCUGCCAAUAUCUCUUGAUAGCUCUAUCGCUGUCAAUAUCUCUAUUGCUAUCACUGUCAAUAUCGCAGUCGAUAUCGCUAUCACUGUCAAUAUCUCUAUCGCUAUCAAUAUCGUGAUCGCUACUACUGUCAGUAUCGCUAUCGUUGUCAAUAUCACUGUCAAUAUCGCUGUCACUAUCGCUGUCGAUAUCGCUAACAAUAUCACUAUCGCUGUUAAUAUUGCUAUCACUGUCAAUAUCACUCAAUAUCGCUAUCACUGUCAAUAUCUCUAUCGCUGUCAAUAUCUCGAUUGCUACUACUGUCAAUAUCGCUAUCGUUGUCAAUAUCGCUGUCACUAUCGCUGUUAAUAUUGCAAUCACUCAAUAUCGCUAUCACUGUCACUAUCGCUGUCAAUAUCUCGAUCGCUACUACUGUCAAUAUCGCUAUCGCUGUCAAUAUCUCGAUCGCUACUACUGUCAAUAUUGCUAUCGUUGUCAAUAUCGCUGUUAAUAUUGCUAUCACUCAAUAUCGCUAUCACUGUCACUAUCGCUGUCAAUAUCUCUAUAAUUGUCAAUAUUUCUAUCGUUAUCACUAUCAUUGUCAAUAUCUCUAUCACUAUCACGAUAACUGUCAAUAUUUCUAUCACUGUCAAUAUCUCUAUCGUUAUCAAUAUCACUAUCACUGUCAAUAUCACUAUCAUUGUCAAUUUCUCUGUCGCUAUCACUGUCAAUAUCUCUAUUGCUGUCAAUAUCUUGAUCACUGUCAAUAUCUUGAUCACUGUCAAUAUCUCGAUCGCUGUCAAUAUUUCUAUUGCUGUCAAUAUCUCUAUCAAUAUCGCUAUCGCUGUCAAUAUCGCUAUCACUGUCAAUAUCUCUAUCGCUAUCAUUGUAAAUAAUGCUAUUACUGUCAAUAUCUCUAUCGCUAUUACUGUCAAUAUCGCUAUCGACAUCGCUAUCACUGUCCAUAUCUCUAUCGCUGUCAAUAUCUCUAUCGCUACCACUGUCGAUAUCGUUGUCAAUAUCUCUUUCGCUAUCACUGUCACUAUCGCUAUCACUGUCAAUAUCGCUGUCAAUAUUGCUAUCGCUGUCAAUAUUGCUAUCGCUGUCAAUAUUGCUAUCGCUGUCAAUAUUGCUAUCGCUGUCAUUAUCGCUAUCGCUGUCAAUAUCACUGUCACUAUCUCUAUCGCUCUCAAUAUUUCUAUCGUUAUCACUAUCAUAUCUCUCACGAUCACUGUCAAUAUCGCGAUCACUGUCAAUAUUUCUAUCGCUGUCAAUAUCUCUAUCGUUAUCAAUGUCGCUAUCGCAGUCAAUAUCUCUAUUGCUAUCACUGUCAAUAUCAAUGUUGUUAUCGCAGUCAAUAUCUAUAUUGCUAUCACUGUCAAUAUCAAUGUUGUUAUCGCAGUCAAUAUCUCUAUUGCUAUCACUGUCAAUAUCGCUACCAAUAUCGCUAUCGCUAUCAAUAUUUCUAUCACUGUCAAUAUUUCUAUCACUGUCAAUAUUUCUAUUGCUGUCAAUAUCGCUGUCAAUAUCGCUAUCGCUGUCAAUAUCACUACCAAUAUCUCUAUCGCUAUCACUGUAAAUAAUGCUAUCACUGUCAAUAUCGCUAUUACUGUCAAUAUCUCUAUCGCUAUCACUGUCAAUAUCUAUCACUGUCAAUAUCACUUUCACUGUCGCUGUCAAUAUUUCUAUCGCUGUCAAUAUUUCUAUCGCUGUCAAUAUCUCUAUUGUAUCAAUAUCACUAUCAUUGUCUCUAUCACUGUCAAUAUCACUAUCAUUGUCAAUUUCUCUGUCACAAUCACUAUCAAUAUCUCUAUCACUGUCAAUAUCUAUCACUGUCAAUAUCACUGUCAAUAUCACUUUCACUGUCGCUGUCAAUAUUUCUAUCGCUGUCAAUAUUUCUAUCGCUGUCAAUAUCUCUCUUGUAUCAAUAUCACUAUCAUUGUCUCUAUCACUGUCAAUAUCACUAUCAUUGUCAAUUUCUCUGUCACAAUCACUAUCAAUAUCUCUAUCACUGUCAAUGUCGCGAUCACUGUCAAUAUUUCUAUCGCUGUCAAUAUCUCUAUCGUUAUCAAUAACGCUAUCGUAGUCAAUAUCUCUAUCGCUAUCACUGUCAAUAUCGCUAUCGCUAUCACUGUCUAUUGCUGUCAAUAUCGCUAUCACUGUCAAUAUCACUACCAAUAUCACUGUCAAUAUCGCUAUCACUGUCAAUAUCACUACCAAUAUCACUGUCAAUAUCGCUAUCACUGUCAAUAUCACUACCAAUAUCACUGUCAAUAUCGCUAUCACUGUCAAUAUCACUACCAAUAUCACUGUCAAUAUCGCUAUCACUGUCAAUAUCACUACCAAUAUCACUGUCAAUAUCGCUAUCACUGUCAAUAUCACUACCAAUAUCACUGUCAAUAUCGCGAUCACUGUCAAUAUCUCUAUAACUGUCAAUAUUUAUAUCGCUGUCAAUAUCGCUAUCACUGUCAAUAUUUAUAUCGCUGUCAAUAUCUCUAUCGCUAUCACUGUCAAUAUUGCUAUCACUGUAAAUAAUGCAAUCGCUGUCAAUAUCUCUAUCGCUAUUACUGUCAAUAUCUCUAUCGCUAUCAACAUUGCUAUCACUGUCCAUAUCGCUAUCACUGUCAAUAUUGCUAUCACUGUCAGUAUAUGUCACUGUAAAUAUCUCUAUCGCUGUCACUGUCAAUAUCUCUAUUGCUAUCACUGUCAAGAUCGCUAUCACAGUCAAUAUCUCUAUCGCUGUCAAUAUCUAUCGCUAUAGCUGUCAGUAUCUCUAUCGCUGUCAAUAUCUCUAUCGCUGUCACUGUCAAUAUCUCUAUCAAUUUCACUAUCACUGUCACUGUCAAUAUUGUUAUCAAUAUUGCUAUCACUGCAAACCCCCUGGGCGCACACUGGUUGAAUCAACGUUGUUUCUUCAUGAGCCUGAACCAACAUGAAAUAGACAUUAAACUGAUGUCUGUGCCCAGUGGGAACAUCCCACCUAAUCUUAUCAUAAUACCAUGUACAGUAGAGGUGUGCUGAGUAGUCGGACAAAACGAGUAUCGUAAAGGAAUAUGGGCAAUUUUCUGGAUAUGAUUAUGAUCCGAGUAUUUCUUUAAAUGAUCCGUGAUCGGGGGAAAAAAAGUAAUUUUCGGGUGCCAGAAGGCAUCUUUCUCAUGUCAGUCAGUCACACCCCUAAUAACAACUUGUUCUCAACUUGCCUACCUGGUUAAAUAAAGGUGAAAAAAUAAAUAAAAGAUGAGGUGCUACAUAGGCAAACUAGCCAGUUGAAUUAUUUAGACUGUCUGUAAAGAGAAGGGCAGGCUAUACGUUGAUUCUGCUGCUCUAAUUGGAUAGAAUGAAGCUCUAUUUCUUGGUCCACUUGCUUCAUAAUUUCACCCAAUCGCUUUCACUUCUCUGUUUCGGUCUAAUCAGUCAUAUUCCUGCUGCCCAAUGUUCCCUCUAAGCUGCACACGUGCACGGCUGUGCACCUCCUCCAGGACUGCCGCCCAGAAGAAAUUAGAGGUCGACCGAUUUAUAAUUUUUCAACACCGAUACCGAUUAUUGGAGGACCAAAAAAAGCCGAUACGGAUUAAUCGGCCUUUUUCUUUUUUUUCUUUUAUUUAUUUAUAUAUAUAUAUUUGUAAUAAUGACUAUUACAACAAUACUGAAUGAACAAUGAACACUUUUAUUUUAACUUAAUAUAAUACAUCAAUAAAAUCAAUUUUGUCUCAAAUAAAUAAUGAAACAUGUUCAAUUUGGUUUAAAUAAUGUAAAAACAAAGUGUUGGAGAAGAAAGUAAAACUGCAAUAUGUGCCAUGUAAAAAAGCUAACGUUUAAGUUCCUUGCUCAGAACAUGAGAACAUAUGAAAGCUGGUGGUUCCUUUUAACAUGAGUCUUCAAUAUUCCCAGGUAAGAAGUUUUAGGUUGUAGUUAUUAUAGGACUAUUUCUCUCUAUGCCAUUUGAAUUUCAUAUACCUUUGACUAUUGGAUGUUCUAAUAGGUACUUUAGUAUUGCCAGCCUAAUCUCGGGAGUUGAUAGGCUUGAAGUCAUAAAGAGCUGCUGGCAAGCACAGGAAAGUGCUGUUUGAAUGAAUGCUUACGAGCCUGCUGCUGCCUACCACCGCUCAGUCAGACUGCUCUAUCAAAUCAUAGACUUAAUUAUAAUAUAAUAACACAGAAAUACGAGCCUUAGGUCAUUAAUAUGGUCAAAUCCGGAAACUAUCAUUUCGAAAACAAAACGUUUAUUCUUUCAGUGAAAUAUGGAACCGUUCCGUAUUUUAUCUAACUGGUGGCAUCCCUAAGUCUAAAUAUUGCUGUUACAUUGCACAACCUUCAAUAUUAUGUCAUAAUUAUGUAACAUUUUGGCAAAUUAGUUAGCAACGAGCCAGGUGGCCCAAACUGUUGCAUAUACCCUGACUCUGCGUGCAAUGAAUGCAAGAGAAGUGACUCAAUUUCACCUGGUUAAUAUUGCCUGCUAACAUGAAUUUCUUUUAACUAAAUAUGCAGGUUAAAAAAAAUGAUACUUCUGUGUAUUGAUUUUAAGAAAGGCAUUGAUGUUUAUGGUUAGGUACAGUCGUGCAAUGAUUGUGCUUUUUCGCAAAUGCGCUUUUGUUAAAUCAUCCCCCGUUUGUCGAAGUUGGUUGUCUUUGUUAGGAAGAAAUGGUCUUCACACAGUUCGCAACGAGCCAGGCGACCCAAACUGCUGCAUAUACCCUGACUCUGUUGCACAGAACGCAAGAGAAGUGACACAAUUUCCCUAGUUAAAAGAACUUCAUGUUAGCAGGCAACUUCAUGUUAGCAGGCAAUAUUAACUAAAUAGGUUUAAAAAUAUAUACUUGUGUAUUGAGUUGAAGAAAGGUGUUGAUGUUUAUGGUUAGGUACACAUUGGUGCAACGACAGUGUUUUUUUUCCGCAAAUGCGCUUGUUAAAUCACCCGUUUGGCGAAGUAGGCUGUGAUUCAAUGAUAAAUUAACAGGCACCACAUCGAUUAUAUGCAACGCAGGACACGUUAGAUAAACUAGUAAUAUCAUCAACCAUGUGUAGUUAACUAGUGAUUAUGUUAAGAUUGAUUGUUUUUUUAUAAGAUCAAUUUAAUGCUAGCUAGCACCUUACCUUGGCUCCUUGUUGCACUCGCAUAACAGGUAGUCAGCCUGCCACCCAGUCUCCUCGUGGAGUGCAAUGUAAUCGGCCAUAAUCGGUGUCAAAAAAAUGCCGACUACCGAUUGUUAUGAAAACUUGAAAUCGGCCCUAAUUAAUCGGCCAUUCCGAUUAAUCAGUCGACCUCUAGAAGAAAUACCAGGCUGCGCAGAGAUACAAGAGAUUGAACUUCAUUGAGUUAGCCCAAUUAGUUUGCACUAUAUAGAUCGAUUUUUCUGUGAUCGAAUCAACAUUACAUCAUCCCCUUUUCAAUGCAACAAUCCAAACCAAAUGUAACUUUGCAAGAUUGAGUCUAUGAUUAUUUUUUCGUAGGCAGAGCCAGAGCGCAACGAAGUAGAAUUCUAUUGGCUGGGUAGCCCACGAGCAGUCUUUCAAUCACCUGAAAGUGAAUGUGCUUUUCAGAUCAGUUCAGAUCAGAGUACAGAGCUGCGCGUGAGCACAUUUGUUGAUAUUCUUUGCUAGUUAGCGAGUUAUUAGCCGGGUUAUAGAUGCGUAUAGGUCAGCAAUGGGGAGUUACUGCUUCCCACAAGAGCACAAUCUGUAGGCUACAUUUCAAGCUGUCUUUAAAAAGUCAGUCAGGUAAAAAGCUUAUGUCUUAAUUAAAGGGGCAGUGUUGUAUUUUGAGACCGGCUUGAAUAUGCUAAUAGGCAGAGGGGUUUCCUACAUUGUCUAAUUCUCUGUAUAGUAAUAAUAAUACAUUGUAUAUUGUAAAGUGGUUUCUUGCAUUAUAGACAAUACAAUGCAAUUUACAGUCACCUAUUUGGCCCAUGGUGUUACAGACCAAGUAAAAAAUCAUUAACUAAUGUCAAGCCCUGCAUAAUAUAAAAACGUUUUUAAAAGUCUCAUGCAAUGUAGGCCUGCAUUGAACACCACAGGCUACUGUAAACUAUAUCAUAGAAAUCCAAAGCUAUUUCCACGUGAAAAUAGCUUAUUGCCUACUGUCUAAAACUGUAAGGGUACAGCCUCACUGUUCACCUUAAACUCGCAUUCAAGUUUCCGCUCACAAGAACAAAAAUUUGCUCAGUGCCCCAAAAGAAUUGAGGGAACAUUGCUGCUGCCUCUUGUUAGCCUGCAACUAUGGUGAAUCAAAUGGCAAGGAUGUUUGCUAUCACGCUAUCAAUGUGCAUAAUAUCUAAAAAGAAGGGAAAGUUUGGGAACAAAGAUUCUGAUUGAUAGCAAACUGCCCGCUACAAUUUGAGGACACAGAGCCCUCCACGGCUCCUCAUCUGCAGCUUGUUUGGUCUGGAAACGUGCAGGGAGGGAGCUUAUUUGCCAAUAUCUACUUAGGCAUAUUAAAACAUUUCAUUUUUUUCCCGAUCACAAGUAACAUCCAAUCCAACUAUCAACUGUCUAUUUACAGAUACGAUUAUGGCCAUGUCAGCACACCCCUAAUACCACCACAAGGUCCAUAUAUCACUGCCUAAACAGGACAUCAUUUAUUAACAACACAAGCAGGGACCUUCAUCCAGUCUGUUUCCAGCUGUACCAUAUUUUAUAUAUGCCAUUUAGCAGACUUAGUCAUGCGACUUAGUCAUGCGUGCAUUUUUUUUUUUUUAUGUAUGUAUGGGAAUCGAACCCACCGUCCUGGCAUUGCAAGAGCCAUGCUCUACCAACUGAGCUACAGAGGACCACAUAUUUAGCAUUGUCUAUACAGUCUGACCUCAGCCAACCUCAUGCAAUACAUUCAUCUCUGACACAGAAGAUGUUAAGGUGAGUUUAUACAAUGUUCUACAAUGUUUAUUUGUUAGCAGGGCUACACUCUAAAGAAGGUAGACAGCUCCUGAUAAGUUUUGACAGAGGAGUCUUAUCCCUCCAGCAGAAGACCUGCCACUGUCCUCGCUACCGCUGUCCUCGCUACCGCUGUCCUCGCGACCGCUGUCCUUUCUGUUGUCUCACUUUCUCUGUUCAUCUCUCUCUCUACCCCCCCCGCCUCCAUGUCUCUCUCGUGCUUUCCCUCUUUCUCUCCUCCUUUGUCUCUCUGGCUCACUCCCUCUUUCUCCCCCCUCUCUCUAUGUCUCUCUUUCAUAUCAUAUUCAUACACAGAAGUGGGUCAUGGCGGUACAUAUUUUGGUGGAAUAUAAAUAUCAAGAAAUUUGUGUAACUACGGGAAAUGAACAGCCAGCCCACAGAGACCACUGCUGUGUUUAUCUUGGACAACCUCUCCCUCUGUGCUUACGCACUCUUUCAUUCUUUCCCUCCUUCAUCUCUCUCUCUCUCUCCACAGCAGACUGCUCCCAGCCGACAACUAUAAUUAUAAACUUUUUUUCCCACCAUGAGACUGAUGUUAUUGAUUAAUUUGUGAGACAUCUUUCGUGAGGCUAUUUUUCUCUUUCCUGCUCUCUUUCCCUCUCUCUCUCUCUCUCUCUCUCUCUCUCUCUCUCUCUCUCUCUCACUGAGGACAAUGCCAGGAAACAUUUCAGCAGAUUUCAGUGAAACUGCAGAACCCAGAACUGGCUUGGUGUCAACCUCACCCCCUGCCAUCCUUUCCACAUCCUCCCCCUCUUGUCACACACACUUGGACAGUGUACAGGGUGGCGUACCGUCAGGUGACCAGAGCCGUGCCAGUCUCACACUCUUACCCAGAAUGCUGCCCAGGUUGGCGACGACUCCACUCACACAACUGUAAUCAAGCGGUGUGUGGCCAGUCCUGUGUGAACGGAGGAACAUGUUUAAUACCCAACCACUGCGCCUGUCCUCUGGGAUGGAUGGGUCGCCACUGCCAAACAGAUGUGGAUGAGUGCCGUGAGCAGCAGCCCUGUUCUCAUCAGUGUGUGAACAUGGCAGGCAGCUACCACUGUGUGUGUAGAGAGGGCUACAGGCUGGCAGGAGACACACACUCCUGUGAGAACCUUCCUCCUCCUCCUCCUGCCUCUUCCACCCACCCCAGUCAAGAAGCAGCAAACGAUCACAUACCCCCCUCCAGUGAUACAGGUGGAGGGUUUGGGCUGACUGAGAACGUCACAGAGGAGGUCCAGAGCCUGAAGAACAGAGUAGAGCUGCUGGAACAGAAGCUCCAGUUGGUCCUGGCCCCUUUCACCAGUCUGUUCCCCAUGUCGCUGGACGAGGGCGUGUCUGAGAAAACCAGCUUCCUGUCCCACUCCUUCCAGCAGCUGGAUCGCAUCGACUCGCUCAGCGAACAGGUCGGCUUCCUCGAGGAACGCCUCGGAACAUGUUCCUGCCAAGAGAAUUAGAAACAACAGGACUGGGUCACCCUCACCAACUAGAUAUCUCCACACAAGUCUGAGUCCACAACACAAUAACAAUAGGAAUGGAAUGAAUGCCCCAGCCCAGCGAUAUGGAGGAGGAGCAAUAUUAGUAGAACAUAGGCCUACUCAGUGUUUUGUGUAUUCCUGUUCCUAUACCAGCCCAAAGGCUAACUUGAACACUAGCUCUAUGAUGGGCAACCCUGUCAUGUGCUAUAUGUCAGUGACACAUACAACCCAUUUAAGUGUCCCUUUCUCCCAACAGCAUAAUUUCAUGUCAUUGCUGUAUUACGGAGACAUAGAAGAGCAUAUAGCAUCACCACCUGUGACGGUUACAGGGGCCUCAUUCCCCCAUUAGCACAUUACCUGAGAGUCAAAGUUCAAACUGCCAAUUUCACUCUGAAGGAUCUGGUUUCCAUGUUUUAGGUUCACAUCAGUCCACUGUCAGAGCCCCCAUGGUGGGGUUUGCAUGGACAUCUGUAUUUAUGUAUUUAAGUUAGAAUUCCUUGUGCUUAUUUCAUAGAGAUACAAUAGACAGUUUACUUUUUUUUUACCUUGUUUUGUAACUUUUUGUAAUAAAAUUGAUUAAAUCAAAAAUGUCUGGUAGAAGAUUUGUGUGUGUGCUCCACGUGGAAGAACAAGAGAUCUCAUUUGAACACAUUACUCGUUGCCGAUUUCAAUUCUAUGGAGAGUUAAGAAACAGUCACACGGGGUCCAAAUCCCAUCUGCAAAGCCUGGGUCUCCACUGCUAGCAAACACACAGCAAUAAAGCACUACAACAGCUCCUUAAGAAACAAAAUGACAUUUAUUAUUUUCCAAACAAUUCAUCAAACAUGUUUAAUCAAUAUUUCUGUGAAAUCAAGAAACACAUCGAUAUUAACCAGAUACUACAAUGGGCUUAUAUGUUGUCGUGUGUGUACGUCUAGGCCACACAGACAGCUCAGCAGGAUGUCGUAAGACAGACGCCUUGGCCAGCUCAAUGGUUCAUAGUCAUCUAAAGCCAACAGAUUACACUUUAAUUGCUUUGGUGAAAUUCAUAGAAUAUUUUGAUAAGAUUUGUUCUUUUUAAAUAUAACCACACAAACUCAACAUGAAAAGUGCUUUAUUCAUAUUUAGAAUACUUUAAAUCUUUCUCCAAUAUCUUAAAUAUAAUUUUGUAAACAGCCAGAUCAACCAACCAGGCUCCCAAAGUAGUGCUGCAGAGCCUGUUGAGUUAACAUAUGACGUUUUUAGCUGACACACUAGAAAGUUAAGCUACAAAACAUCAUGAAAAUAAUCAAUAGGCUAACUAUUGACCAUGGUCUAAAAAUCAAUGACAGUAUACAUUUGGUAGCAUCUUUGAUGAACAUUCAAACCUCUAAGAUUUUUAAAAAGACACCACUGCAUUUUAAGAUAACAAAAACCAUGAAAGGCUUACUAUUGUUAAUAUAUACUUCUAUUAACAAAAAUGAAUGUCACAGAUUUAUUUGAUGUAUUCAGACUGACUGGCGUAUGUAUAUUCCGUACAUGGUGGUACUGGCCUUCAAGAACAUAAAGAUGAGGAAAGCCCGAGCCUUGAGCUGAUUUACUCCUCGGAACCAAGUAAGCCAAAAGCCCAGCAGGUGCCGGUAAAGCUACUGUAGACAAUCGACUAUGAAGAGGCCUCGUAUACAGGGUUAUUACCAGACAAAGCAUAGAUGUUUUCACUUCUACAGCAUGAGCGCCUCAACAGGGUUGGAGUUAAUCAAUUCCAUUUUUCAAUUCAGUCAAUUCAGGAAGUAAACUGAAAUUCUAAUUUCCGGUAAAAAAAAAUCUGAGAAGCACUGAGGAUAAUUGAAGUAGAUGUUUUUUUUGGAUUGACUGAAUUUAAAUUGAUUGAUCCUCAACACUGUUCCUCAGGAAGUUUGGGUGCACAACAAAGAAAAAUGCUGGAGAUAAAAUUAAGUGUACAAUUACUUUACCUUAAUUUUAAAUAAAAACAAUUAAUCAUUGACAUUUCUUUGUGUCAGAAACAGACUGUAUGCAAAACAUAAUUCCAUUGAAAUAAGUUAUACUUAAAAUUAAAAAGAUUGAAAAAUAAAGAGUUAAAUGCAAUAAGUAGUACACAAAUAAUCCUGAAAUACAUUCUCAGACCGGUGUUUUUGACAGGCAAAAAGCUGCAAGCGACUUCAUUUUAGCCAACUGUAAUGUAAAGGCAGUGAAUAUUAAAAAUGUCAAGAUCUGGAUACAAAUUAUAAUAAGAAGCUGCGUUGCCAUACAUUAAAAGUAUGUCAUUCCAGUUAUGUCUAUUAAUUACAAAAUAUAAAACCUCUCACAAGUUUACAAACUUCACAAUCCCAACUUUGAUUAUUACUACCUUGAAUACAAGGCCAAAAACAUUCAGCCAAUUCCUCGCUUCCUUUAAAAAUAGACCACGCCUUUUCCCCACAGUCAGUUCUACAUAUCAUACACCAUCCAUCGAUAAAAUCAUCAAAUUUAAUAUUCUCAGUUUUGGGUAUCAUAAUUGGUCAGAAAACCACAGUAUGUAUUGAUAGGAGAUGUCUAUGCGUGUAUCCCUCCUCUUCCCCAUUCCCCUAUAAUAGGAAAAGCACCGGUUCAUCAAGUAUAAAGCUAAGGUAACCACUGACAGCAGCCCUUCUAUACUGAAUAUAAAUGUAACAUGCAAAGUGUUGGUCCAAUGUGUCAUGAACUGAAAUAAAAUAUCCCAGAAAUGUUCCAUUGGCACAAAAAGCUUAUGUCUCUCAAAUUUUGAGCACAAAUUUGUUUACAUCCCUAUUAGUGAGCAUUUCUAAAUUGUCAUGGUAAUUUAUCCACGUGACAGGUGUGGCAUAUCAAGAAGCUAAUUAAACAGCAUGAUCAUUACACAGGCACACCUUGUGCUGGGGACAAUAAAAGGCCACUAAAAUGUGCAGUUGUCACACAACACGAUACCACAGAUGUGUCAAGUUGAGGAAACGCGCAAUUAGCAUGCUGACUGCAGGAACGUCCAACAGAGCUCUUGCCAGAGAAUUGAAUGUUAAUUUCUCUACCAUAAGCCACCUCCAAUGUCAAUUUAGAGAAUUUGGCAGUACGUACAACUGGCUCACAACUGCAGACUAUGUGUAACCACAACAGCUCAGGCCCUCCACAUCCGGCUUCCUCACCUGUGGGAUCGCAGGGGUGCUGAGGAGUAUUUCUGUCUGUAAUAAAGCCCUUUUGUGGGGAAAAACUGAUUCUGACUGACUGGGCCUUGCACCCAAGUGGGUGGGCCUAUGCCCUCCCAGGCCCAACCAUGGCCGUGCCCCUGCCCAGUCAUGUGAACGCCAUAAAUGAAUUUCCUUCUAUGAACUGUAAUUCAGUAAAAUCUUUAAAAUAGUUGCAUGUUGCACUUAUAUUUUAGUUCAGUAUAGUUAUCAUGUAACAAUAAGGAACAUUUGGCCAAGCAAAGAACGCACAAGACUUAGCUAAUAAAUGUUACUGUGGUGAAAGGAUGCAGCAAUUGUUUUAGCAUUUGAUAAUUUACUGGGGAAAAAAAUAAUUGUACAACAUAUCAGGGUAUAUGUUACUUAACUAUGGGGACUGCUAUCAUGAUGGUUACCAAAAUACAGGUUGGUGUUCAGUUUGAGGAGAAUUUGAUUCACAUUUCACCUCUUCUGAGAUGUGUUUUUGGGGUGUAGGUUGGGACAAGCAGGGUUUAUUAGUAGUUAGUAAAAACUCAACAUUAAAACAAAACUUAACAUCUGAAAUCUGAUCUCGUUUGAUGUGGUUAAGCCUCCUGAUAUCAUCACGAUACCAUCGUCUCCGCAGUGCAGCAAGGACUCCAGACUUUUCAUUGGAAACCGUAAAACCGAUCAAUCACUAACAGAGCACAGGGUUACAUUUAAAACAAUCCCCUCAUUAGAACACUUUGUACUGUACCCGUGUUACAUCUAGAUCACUUCCCAAUGUGUUACUUUUAAAGCACUAGCACACUUUUUCCAACAAAAAACAGAGUUCCUGUUGGACAAAUUCAAGUAGGCCCCUCCCUGUUUCAUUCAGUUUGCUCCAUUUGCUUUGUUUGGCUCUUAAAACGGUUUCCGUUGCAAGAUGUAAUGAAUACAUCCUAGAACUCUUGCACUUUGGAGCAGUUUAGAUUGAACAGUUGGACAUUGCACUUCAUAAAAUCGCCUUUUAUACAUCUUAAA